AAUAAAAAAAUAAUCAAUUUUAUAUAUUGAUUCAUAUUAAUUUAUUAAACAUUAGCAUAACAAAAUAAACUGUGUAGGGCGAUAGGGCACCCGCGGGGUGCUGCAUACUUCGAGCAGGUAAUAAAUGAAAGUUAACCCGCAUGGAUAAGAAUGAAAAUCAAACAUAUCGAAAAUUAUCGUACAAUUACCGUACAAGACUCAUUUUAUCGUAACUUUUCGUCACAUAAUCAAAGUCGGAUGUACGAUCGUAUAAUGCUUCAAAUUAUGUGACGUUUACGAUAAUUAUGUGACGGAUGGGAACACUGUUACUGUACAAGUUUUUGAGUGAACUUGACGUUAACUUUGACCAAACUUUCUAUACUACAAGUAAUUUUAUAGUAAGUGUGGCUAUCAGGGGAUCAUUCGCUCUCUCUCUCUCUCUCUCUAAUACAGAGAGUUAAGCCUUCGCUUUUUCAAGUCUUAUGACAAUUUAUGUUAUUGAACAAUGAACUAAUAUAUAAAAGUGUUUAGAAUCUUUGCUGGUGUUUAUAAGACACUUUUAUCAUAAUAUUAUCAUUGCAAUGGAACAGCUGAUUUAAAAAAUGAAUGGUCAAAAGUUGAGCGCUAGAAUAGAUAAUUAUUUUGUUGGUGAUUUUAGCGAAAAAUAACCUAUAAAUUUUUAUUUAUCAACGUUUAUGACAUUUUUUGGAUUAUUUAUUUAAUGUCAUGUCUUUGGAAGAUGAUGGGACUACCAGGGAUCUUAUUUGUAAACCUAACUUUUCGCUUUUACAUCAAUCUAAUGAAACUUCCGAGGACGUGUUAGAAUGUUUAUCAGUGAUGGUAAACAACGAGGAGUCUCAAGUGCAAGGCAUACUAGUAAACGAGCACCCACUGCUAGGAGCGACGUUGACCGCAAUAACAUUGCCAGAUGGAAGCCAAGCUUUCGUCGCGAACGACCCGGAAGACCUGGAGCUAAAAAACCCCCUCGACAAAGCAACCCGUACAAUUUUAAUCAGCGAGCUCUCAAACUUAUCAAACACACCCGAGCAAUCGGACGCUGGAUCGUCGAACCAGGCAGAGAUUCCAGGUGUGGAAAUAAUAGACGACGCGACAACAACCUACAUGGUGACCAGUCACUCAGAGAACCAGCUCUGGGAACUGAGCGGUGAAAAAUGCGGCAAGUCGCCGAACAAGGAGAAAAUUUUCGUGAAGAAAAUAAGCCAAAGCGCGGCGAGUCAAAGAACUCAAUACCCGUGUCCGAGAGACGGCUGUGAAAAAGUCUACAGCACUUUGCAUCACCUGAAGGUCCACGAGCGAUCACACACCGGGCAGAAACCCUACGAGUGCACCUUCUCCAGCUGUGAUAAGAGUUUCUCGACCGGGUACAGCCUGAAAGCCCACUUGAGGACUCAUACUGGAGAAAAGCCUUACAAGUGCAGUGCUGAGUCUUGCAAUAAAAGUUUCAAGACCUCGGGGGACUUGCUGAAGCAUGUUAGGACCCACACUGGCGAGCGGCCCUUCGUCUGUCCUUAUGAAGGGUGCGGGAGGUCCUUUACUACUUCGAAUAUCAGGAAAGUUCACGUGAGGACUCACACUGGCGAGCGGCCUUAUCAAUGCAGCACUUGCAAUAAAGCCUUUGCUAGUGCGACUAAUUAUAAAAACCAUGUGAGGAUUCAUUCUGGGGAAAAACCUUACGCGUGUACUAUUGAAAACUGCGACAAACGCUUCACUGAAUAUUCUAGUCUCUACAAGCAUCACUUGGUUCAUACUCAGCAAAAACCUUUCGAGUGUAAGCUCUGCUUUAAAAGGUAUCGACAGAACAGCACUCUCGUGAUGCAUAAACGGACUGCUCAUGCUUUAGUUGAGGAUGGUGAUGAAGAGUUAAAUGGUGAUGGUGAUGAGAAUGAAGGUGAAAUUGAGACGGAAGAGAUUGAGGGGAUCGAGGGGAUUUUUGAGUCCAAUUGUGAUAAUUUGAGCAAUGAUCAAACUGAGGAAAAUGCUAAGGAUUGUGAGCUGUUGAUAGAAGGAAGAAAUUCUGGAGAUAAUGCUACACAGAUACUUUUUGUUGGUGAUUCAACGCAAAUUGCUGUUUUGCAGGUAUGCGUUGAUUCGUCAUUUUUUUGAUAUGGGGCGCCUGCGUUUUUAUUUUAAAGCGGAUUUUAUUUAUUAUAUAAAAUUGAAAGAAUUUUGAAAGUUAAGCAUAUUAAUUUCGAAGAAGACUUCAAUGAAGCAGAAAUGGAUUCAACUUUAGAAGGACUGAACAUAAAGAUAGAAGAUAUGGAGUUUG
rnacentral:misc_RNA from 1 species